UUUUUGACCUUGAUGUGGCAUAUCUCUUUAGCCAGAGAAUUGUGAUUUGGGCGCCAUUUUCCUUCUUCCUAUAUACGCUUUUCUUCAAUUUGGCUAUCAUCUUUCACCCACAUUCAAUUUUACAAACCCUAAAUCUCAUCUACGGCUUCAUCUUUAGCGAUUGUACUUGGCCAUACCCACUUCAGAAAUCCCUAAAACUCAAUCAUUCGAACUCUCAUCUAGCUUUCAUUGAAUUCAGUGCUAAGAACCCAAAAUCUAUAGAACCGGACG